UGCCAUUACCAUUUCAUUUCUAAAAGAAGUUCAUCAGCUACCAAACAUCCGCAAUGCAUGGAGAAGCAGAGACCAUCGCUGUGAUAAUCGAUUCAGCAGCAGAAGCAGCCAAUGAGUUACAGAAGUUAACAGGUGAUAAACAUGAGGAAGUGGAGAGUCAAAACCGUUUGCUUGAUUGAAUGGGCAAUAACAUGGACACAUCAAGGGGUAUAAUGUCAGGAACCACGGAUCAAUUCUAGAUGGUAUACAAGCCAGACCUACUUUACAGUCAUAUUUGUUCGACUUCCUUGGCUGCCUGGAAAUGGCUGAGCAUAAUAAAGUUAUUGCUAUGCAGGGUCCUUAGAUACUUGAAGCGAAGUUGAAUCAGAAUUGUGAGAACCUCACCUUUGAAGUCCUUGAUUAACAAUGGGAGUUGGGCACGCAAAAAAUGUUUGGAAUGGCACUGCAAGUGUGAUGAUCCUGGUCAUUUCUUAAGUAGCAAAGAACUCAUGGUUUACCGUACCUGCUAUGAGAUGGCCUGUGAUUGAAUGUGCACUACAUGCUUACCAUUUUGUGGUGAUUUUAGUAAGUAAAUAUCGAGUGGAAGCAAUUGGUAGAACUUACGGAAAAUAUCAAGGCAUGUUAGCAUGCAGUGUUUCAUUAAUCUAGUUCAAGGAUACUCCCGACGAUGGAGUGGGGAUUUCCCAGUACACGAUAUCAAAUAACAAAAUCAUGAUUUUUUUUUGGCCAGGAUAAAAGACAUAGUUAAGCUGUUGCCUGCCUGUUGACCUUAGAUUUAUACUCAUGGCACAUCUUUCCAUUGAAACUACUAUACCCGGCGAAAUCCACUAAAUUAUAGAUUCAUGUAGACUUUUAGUUCCAAGUUUCUUUAGCCUCAAUCGUACAGCGUGCAUGGUCAUCAUCCGCUCUAAAUGUUGUUCAAUUAGCCUGUAAUAGGGCAUGGGAUAUUUGACUCAAAAUGGAGACACCAAGUUUGGUAGCAGAGAGAUUCUGUCGGCAGGAGUGCUUUAAGAUGAGUCACUUGAACUGAUUUAUUUGUAGGGACUGUGAUGCUAUGAGAAAGUUUAAAUUGAUCCCCGAAAUAUCUUCAAUUAUACCUUGAACGUGACAGAUUUUGGAAGUCCUGGAGCCAAAUUAAAGCAAAUAAAAUUAUCUUGAUUCCAAGCUUCAAACUCGAGAAUUCAAGUGAGGGAAUAGAUCCUCUUGACCACCGUGCUAAUCCUUGAGCUCUACAUAUAACGAUCAACAGACAACAUAUUCAGUAGUGUUCUUUAGGCAUUGCUGUAAGACGCAUGAUCAUCAGAACAAAAUUAAUGGAAGGCGAAGGCUUUGUAUUGAUGUUCUUACAAACUGCUGAUGAAUCUAUACUUCCCCGAGUUUUUGGGUUUUCA